CCUUGUGGAGUCUGUUACUUUUUGGGAAAGGGAGGGAUUUUGACCCUGAAGAUUUCCGAAGUCCCUAGUUUGAAUUUCCUAGGGAAGUGAGAGAAAAGCUGGAUUCGGCUGGAGCCCGGUUGUGGCAGAAACUAUCCAGGCUUUGUGUAGGAGGAGAAAGAGGGAGAAUCAGAGCGAGGAGGAGGGCCAGAGCAUCCAAGGAGCCUCGUCCUUGAUCAAGAUGGGCGACGCGAGCCUGCUGAGGGGAAGAGCCAGGGUGACAAGGGCAGGAAGAGAGCGGAUGGGCUACUUCUUAAGAUCCACCUGGGGGACCAGAGACUCUGCUUCCACCUUUCACGCUGGGACUGGCUUGCCAGAACACAAGCUGUCUCUCAGUGAGCGAACACGCCGUCUUCCUUGCACUCAGAGAAGUUCUAGUUCUCACAGGAGUACAUGCCUGGGGUCUUCCCACAUUCCCUGUCAGGUGAUUUGCCUACUUCAGGAAAAUGCCGCCCAGCAAAUGCCUCAAGAAACAAAGACUGGAAAACUGGCUCCUUGGUUUGGAAGCGGCACUGUCUGAGAC
rnacentral:lncRNA from 1 species